rnacentral:rRNA from 1 species
CUGGAAUGGGUAAUGACCCAAACCUAUAUGGCCCCUGGAUUUGGACUGCGGCCGAUCAGGCUGUUGGUGAGGUAAUGGCCCACCAAAUCUGUAACCGGUACGGGCUCUGAGAGGAGGAGCCCGGAGAUGGGCACUGAGACAAGGGCCCAGGCCCUAUGGGGUGCGGCAGGCGCGAAACCUCUGCAAUAGGCGAAAGCUUGACAGGGUUACUCUGAGUGAUUUCCGUUAAGGAGAUCUUUUGGCACCUCUAAAAAUGGUGCAGAAUAAGGGGUGGGCAAGUCUGGUGUCAGCCGCCGCGGUAAUACCAGCACCCCGAGUGGUCGGGACGUUUAUUGGGCCUAAAGCAUCCGUAGCCGGUUCUACAAGUCUUCCGUUAAAUCCACCUGCUCAACAGAUGGGCUGCGGAAGAUACUAUGGAGCUGGGAGGCGGGAGAGGCAAGCGGUACUCGAUGGGUAGGGGUAAAAUCCGUUGAUCCAUUGAAGACCACCAGUGGCGAAGGCGGCUUGCCAGAACGCGCUCAACGGUGAGGGGAUGAAAGCUGG